rnacentral:rRNA from 1 species
UCAAGACGAGGAUAACCGUUGGAAACGAUGGCUAAGACUGGAUAGGAAUACGGGAGGCAUCUUCUGAUUUUAAAAGACCUGGCAACAGGUAUGCUUGAGGAGGGGCCUGCGGCGCAUUAGUAGUUGGUGAGGUGAUGGCUCACCAAGACGAUGAUGCGUAGCCGGACUGAGAGGUUGAACGGCCACAUUGGGACUGAGAGACGGCCCAAACUCCUACGGGAGGCAGCAGUAGGGAAUUUUCGGCAAUGGGGGAAACCCUGAACCCGAGCAACGCCGCGUGAACGACGAAGUACUUCGGUAUGUAAAGUUCUUUUAAGAGGGAAGAAUGGCCCGUGGAAAAGCGGGCGUGACGGUACCUUUUGAAUAAGCCCCGGCUAACUAUGUGCCAGCCGCAGC